UUUAACAAUGUUCCAAAAGGAGAAAUAAGGUAUAGCAUCUCACUACAAAUCCUCCAUCUCAAAACAUGGGGCCUGGAGUGGCCCCCCAAGACCCUACCCCUAAAACAAACUGGCUGUGGAUAUGGUGACAGAUUAGAAAGUUAAACCCUUCACCUCCAUGAAAGAAUCUGGAAUGGAGCAAACCCAUCAUUUACCUAAGAAGGCAGAAGGUGAGACAGUCCCAUUGCUGCGUGACACCAUGACACUGAUGCCUGUCUCUAUGAAGGGCACAGAGAAGUCGACCACCUCCGAUCGUUCCUCAUUGAUGAUGGCUACAGAGGAGUUUGAUGACUUGCCCAAGCUCCCACGGUAAGUGACUUGAAGCUGAGCAGUCUGACUCCAGAGCUUGGACUCCUACCCACCACUCUGCACUGCUUCUCUGACAAUGAAGGAGUAAGACAUGUUCCUUUUCCUCCAAGGACAGUCUAGAGGGAAAAGACACUAUCCAUCGACAAUAAUAGGCUUUGGUAAUUACUCUAAUAUCCACUAUCCAUUGACAAGUUAGGCUUUGGUAAUUACUGUAAUAAAAGAUAUAAAUAAAGUACUCCGGCAUUCA
rnacentral:lncRNA from 1 species